AGAUGGAGACCGUCCUGGCUAACACGUUGAAACCUCGUCUGUAGUAAAAAUACAAAAAAAAAAAAAUUAGCCAGGCGUGGUGGCGGGCGCCUGUAGUCUCAUCUGUUCGGGAGGCUGAGGGAGGCGGAGCUUGCAGUGAGCCAAUAUCGCGCCACUGCACUCCAGCCUGGGCGACAGAGCGAGACUCCGUCUCAAAAAAGAGAGAGAGAGGAGAGAAAAGAGACGAAAUUGGCUACAGAAAGAAUUGACUUGGAGAUUUUUAGCUGGCCACUCCUUCUUGAGCCCUGACUGAAAACCCCCGUCUUCUCUUCACUGAUGCACAUAGAUGCCUGACCAGAGGAGAGAGUUCGUUUUCAUCCCAGGAUUAUCUCUUAUGCUGCAGUUCUGAAAUUCCCAUAAUGUUUAAACUAGAACACAAUUCAUUUCAUUAUCUCCAAUGUGUAUGACUUGACAGAAAUAUAUUCCGUUAUGUAGUACCUUAAAUCCAGAUAAAACAUAAGGAACUUUUAUUCCAUAUUUGUAUGAUCAAUGUUAAUAAUAUAAAAAGUCUAAAAAGUAGCUAUUUCCUAUAUUACAGUAUGAAAGAAAUAUGUUGACUGAUUUGUUUUGGGGGUGGGAAGGUGUAAGGCUGAGGAGGGGCCUGUGGAGAACAGUGACAGGAGUCCUUUCUUAAGGGUUGGGUUUUAUAUAUGUCUUUUAAAAUAGAUGAUAUCAUUAAUAAAUUAUAUGUGGUCAUCAUGCAAAAAGUUUAUAAUAUACAACUUUAUGAGCCUGACAGUUGGUUAAACAAUUUUCUGUUUAAAAUUUUAUUUGAUCCCCCCCAAAAAAGAAAUGUUUGCUUAUGAGUAUUAGGGUAGUUCUAGUAGUAACGCCUCAAAAGAACCAGGAGGUACAAUGUUGUCUAAAACGUGGACUCAGGAGCCAGACUGCCUGGCUGUGCAACCGCCUUGUCAUUUCCUAGAUAUGGGGCAAGUUAAUUAACUUCUCAGUGUUCUUAUCUGUAGAAGGGGGAUAAUCAUAAUAUAUAUCUCAGGGUUAUAUUAAAAAUUGAAAAAGUUAAUUUUGUAAAGCACUUAGAAUAAUACCUGGCAAAUAAAUGUGUUUAUAAAAGUACACCCUAUAAAAGUGUUUACUCAUUACAUACAAUAAUCUGAAACCAUUAGUGAUUUAAACAUUUGUGGCUGACUAGGUACUAUUUAUGAAAAUAGUGUAUUUAUAAUCUUUGACCUUAUUUUACUUAUUUUACAAUAAAUAGGAGUUUAUUGUAUAGUAAACAUUUUCACAGGGAGACAAAAAUAUUACUAUAAAAUCAUAUUUAUUACAUCUAUCUGUGCAAAAGGAAAAAACAUUAGGCAAAUAAAAUGACCAACAAAAGUGGUAUUGGUUCAAUGAAUUAUAGUAAGUCCGCUCAUUAGUAAUCAUAUAAUCCAAAAAAAUGAGACAUAUUUAUGUGAUAUGGGAAGAUCCACAACUAAUGUUAAAUGGUAAAAGAUAUAAAAUGUUAUGCCCAAUAAAAUACUUUCUGUGAGAGAA